rnacentral:rRNA from 1 species
GAGUGGCGGACGGGUGAGGAACACGUGGGUGAUCUACCCUUCGGUGAGGAAUACCACCGGGAAACCGGUGACAAUACCGCAUGCGCUCCGCAAGAAGCAAAGUUUCUUUUCGGAGAGACGCCAAAGGAUGAGCCCGCGCCCGAUUAGCUGGUUGGUGGGGUAACGGCCUACCAAGGCGACCAUCGGUAGCUGGUCUGAGAGGACGAUCAGCCACACUGGGAUUGAGAACGGCCCAGACUCCUACGGGGGGCAGCAGUGAGGAAUUUUCGUCAAUGGGGGAAACCCUGAACGAGCAACGCCGCGUGCAGGAAGACGGCCUUCGGGUUGUAAACUGCUUUUCUUGGGGAAGAGAACGGACGGUACCCAAGGAAUCAGCCCCGGCUAACUACGUGCCAGCAGCCGCGGUAAUACGUAGGGGGCGAGCGUUGUCCGGAGUUAUUGGGCGUAAAGCGCACGCAGGCGGUCAGCCAAGUUCGAGGUGACAGUCGUCGGCUCAACCGAGGAAGGACCUUGAA